rnacentral:lncRNA from 10 species
AGACUCCAUCUAAAAAAAGAAAGAAAGAAAGAAAGAGAGAGAGAGAGAGGGAGGGAGGGAGGAAAGAGAGAGAGAGAGAAAGAGAAAGAAAGAAAGAAAGAAAAAGAAAGAAAGAAAGAAAGAGAAAAGAGAGAAAAAAUCCAUGCUGGUAGUCACCUCCAAUCGAGACCUGCCAUUCGUUUUUUUUUGUUUGUUUGUUUUAUUUUUUUUAAUGGAGCAGGAGCUGAGUGCGGUGGCUCAUGCCUGUAAUUCCAACGCUUUGGGAGACUGAGGUGGGCCAAUUGCUUGAGCCCAGUAGUUUGAGACCAGCCUGGGCAACAUGGGGAAACCACGUCUCUAGUAAAAAUACAAAAAUUAGCCGGACAUAGUGGUGCACACCUGUAGUCCCAGCUACUCGUGAGGCUAAGGCAGGAGGAUCAUUUAAGCCUGGAAGGUCAAGGCUGCAGAGAGCCAUGAUUGUGUUACUGCACUCCAGCCUGGGCGACAGUGCUAGACCUUGUCUCAAAAUAAAUAAAUAAAUAAAAAUAAAAUGGAGGGGGAAAAGUGGAGAAAAGCAGACUAAUUUAAGAUAUAUUUUAGGGAUCGAUAGACAAAUGCACAUGCAAAUGGAAAAUAACAUAGUUAUCAUGGAAUUCUUUAAUUUUGCACACAUUUGAUUUCCUUACUUCAUGGGCCAGGAACUGGGAAGUGUAGCAUAGGGUGAGUAGGAAAAUGAGAAGUCUGCCUUCUUGUUUACUUCCAAAAUAACUAGAAGAGGAGAAGUCUGUCUUCCAACAUAACCUGUUAGGUGUUACCAAAGUACUGUGCAUGCAUUUGUGGUUGUUAAGUACUGGUGCCUUAAUGCAUUUUUAUCACACUGAAUCAUAGUAUGGCAUCCUUGUUAAGCAUGAUAUGUCACUUUGUUUGGUUCCUUUCUCCAGGACUCGAACUAAAGAGAGCCAAAAAAGGAUGCAGGCAUGCAGCUCUCUUACAACUUGAAACUAAACAGAAGUUUAGAUUCCUCUUUUUUUUCUUUAGAAGUUUAGAUCUGGGAUGGCAUCUAGAAGCCCCCUCUUCCCAGGUCUCUUGCCAAUCUUCCUGUACUUAGCCAGAAUAAAAGUUGGCCAUGGGACUCAAGUUGAAUGGACACUUCCUGUACUGAUACUGAAAACAGAUCCUACAUCCUAUGUCCGUUGAGU